UGUCCACACUAAGUUCAGCACCAAUUUGGUGACUCUGAGGGAGCUUGGAGCUACCAGGUUGGUCUAAGGAGGGGUGAACCGGCCCAGGUUGGGAACAGAGCAGGUCAAAUCCCCCGUGUUGAUCAGUAGUGGGACAGCA